rnacentral:rRNA from 1 species
GGGGGNGCCAGCCGCCGGGGGGAAAGGCUUCGGGUAGCCGGACGGGGGGCUCGCGGCCCAUUAGCUAGUUGGGGGGGUAAGGGCCUCCCAAGGCGACGAUGGGUAGCCGGCCUGAGAGGGUGAUCGGCCACACUGGGACUGAGACACGGCCCAGACUCCUACGGGAGGCAGCAGUAGGGAAUCUUCCACAAUGGGCGCAAGCCUGAUGGAGCAACGCCGCGUGAGUGAAGACGGCCUUCGGGUUGUAAAGCUCUGUCUGUNGGGANGAGG